CUUUUGGUUGACACAGUCAUCACUUGGUCACUCAUUCUAUCUCCUUUUUCUCUAUCUCACUCUUUCUCGAUCAAUGUUUCACUCCAUCUCUCCCUCUCUCUCUCCCUGUCUCUCUCUAUGCCCCUCUUACUCUUUCCGUAUCUCUCUCUCUCUCUCUCUCUCUCUCUCUCUCUCUCUCUCUCUCUCUCUAUGCCCCUCUAACUCUUUCCGUAUCUCUCUCUCUCUCUCUCUCUCUCUCUCUCUCUCUCUCUCUCUCUCUCUCUCUCUCUCUCUCUCUCUCUCUCUCUCUCUCUCUCUCUCUCUCUCUCUAUGCCCCUCUUACUCUUUCCGUAUCUCUCUCUCUCUCUCUCUCUCUCUCUCUCUCUCUCUCUCUCUCUAUGCCCCUCUUACUCUUUCCGUAUCUCUCUCUCUCUCUCUCUAUGCCCCUCUUACUCUUUCCGUAUCUCUCUCUCUCUCUCUCUCUCUCUCUCUCUCUCUCUCUCUCUCUCUCUCUCUCUCUCUCUCUCUCUCUCUCUCUCUCUCUCUAUGCCCCUCUUACUCUUUCCGUAUCUCUCUCUCUCUCUCUCUCUCUCUCUCUCUCUCUCUCUCUCUCUCUCUCUCUCUCUCUCUCUUUCUCUCUUUCUCUCUCUCUCUCUAUGCCCCUCUUACUCUUUCCGUAUCUCUCUCUCUCUCUCUCUCUCUCUCUCUCUCUCUCUCUCUCUCUCUCUCUCUCUCUCUCUCUCUCUCUCUCUCUAUGCCCCUCUUACUCUUUCCGUAUCUCUCUCUCUCUCUCUCUCUCUCUCUCUCUCUCUCUCUCUCUCUCUCUCUCUCUCUCUCUCUCUCUCUCUCUCUCUCUAUGCCCCUCUUACUCUUUCCGUAUCUCUCUCUCUCUCUCUCUCUCUCUCUCUCUCUCUCUCUCUCUCUCUCUCUCUCUCUCUCUCUCUCUCUCUCUCUCUAUGCCCCUCUUACUCUUUCCGUAUCUCUCUCUCUCUCUCUCUCUCUCUCUCUCUCUCUCUCUCUCUCUCUCUCUCUCUCUCUCUCUCUCUCUCUCUCUCUCUCUCUCUCUCUAUGCCCCUCUUACUCUUUCCGUAUCUCUCUCUCUCUCUCUAUGCCCCUCUUACUCUUUCCGUAUCUCUCUCUCUCUCUCUCUAUGCCCCUCUUACUCUUUCCGUAUCUCUCUCUCUCUCUCUCUCUCUCUCUCUCUCUCUCUCUCUCUCUCUCUCUCUAUGCCCCUCUUACUCUUUCCGUGUCUCUCUCUCUCUCUCUCUCUCUCUCUCUCUCUCUCUCUCUCUCUCUCUCUCUCUCUCUCUCUCUCUCUCUAUGCCCCUCUUACUCUUUCCGUGUCUCUCUCUCUCUCUCUCUCUCUCUCUCUCUCUCUCUCUCUCUCUCUCUCUCUCUCUCUCUCUCUCUCUCUCUCUCUCUCUCUCUAUUCAAUUCAAUACAAUUUCAAUUCAAAAAAGCUUUAUUGGCGUGAGAAAUAUACAUUUGCAUUGCCAAAGCAGGUGAACAAUAAAACAGUCAAAGUGUAAAACAUUAAAGGAGACAUAUUAUGGAGUUUUCCCAACAAGUAAACAUAGUAUUUGAGUUCCAGAAAACAUGUUUUUGAAGCUGUUUGCUGGAAAUAGCUUUAAGGAAAAAAAAUAUUGUCUACCGCUAUUCCCCUCUGUUUCAGUCCCUUUAGAAUGCGCUGUUUCUGGUGUCUGUAGAAUUGAUGCAAAUGAGCUGCUGCCCAUUGACCAAUGAGCUGUCAGACUGAACCACAGCAUGGAGGAGAAGGGAUUGUUGCCGUUUGCUGACUCCUGGAGCUCUAUAUCUAUAUAAUAUAGUUGUCAAGUAAUAG
rnacentral:lncRNA from 1 species